GUGUGUGCACCUCUCCGCCGCAGUGGCUGACUAUGGAAUGAGAUGACGAGGUUUUCGUAUCCUCGACCCUGUAUCAGUUCCAGUCCAGGCUAAUUAUCGAUCUCUCACACACUCACUCACACACACACACACACACACACACACACACACAAAAGAGUGAGCAGUAAAUUUAUGGCUCCAUAAAUCAUCUUUUGAGUCAGGAUUAUUAAAAAGACCAAUAAGAAGGGAGUGAUCUUAGAACCUGUGUGUGUGUGUGUGUGUGUGUGUGUGUACGCGUGCGGGGACACACACACACACACUAAUGCUGUUGCAUCACCUGGUCAGCACUUUUUACAAACGCCUGAGACAAGACAUUUCAGCUCCGCCUGGCAGACAGGGAUGGCUCAAUAUCCUGAAUCAGGCCAUUCUGAGAGACAGAAAGCGCGCGUGUGUGUGUGUGUGUGUGAGACAGAAAGAAGGCAAGGAAAGGAACACUUUGCAAGAAGCAGGAGCAAACAAAAAAAAAACCCCAAAGAUGGCUGAAAGUCUGGAAAACACCCUGCUGGGAUUAUUAUUAGUGUUAGAUUAUGUGUAAUGUAACACCAUAGAAACCUCUCUGUGACCCGCUGAGGCACGGACUCCACAGGACCUCUGAAGGCGUGCUGUGGUAUCUGGCACCGAGACGGUAGCAGCAGAUCCUUUAAGUCCUGUAAGUUGUGGGGUCGGACCUCCAUGGAUCAGACUUGUUUUGUCCAGAACAUCCCACAGAAGCUCAAUCGGAUUGAGAUCUGGGGAAUUCGGAGGCCGAGUCAACACCUUGAACUCUUGGUCACGUUCCUGUACAGUUUUUGCAGUGUGUCAGGGGGCAUUAUCCUGCUGAAAGACACCACUGGGCACCGUUAGGGAACACCGUAUCUAUGAAGACGUGUACUCGGUCUGCAGUAAUGUUUAGGUAGGUGGUACGUGUCAGAGUAACACCACAUGAAUGCCAGGACCCGAGGUUUCCCAGCAGAACAUUGCCCAGAGCAUCACACUUCCUCCUCCGGCUCACCUUCUUCCCAUAGUGCAUCCUGGUGUCGUCUCUCCUCCAGUGUUUUGCCUACGUUACACAUCCAACCCGCCUCUCUCCCUCUCCCCCCAUCUGCUUGUCUGUGGCCCCGUGCUGGAGUCUCCAUCUUGUUUCCUGUCAGGCGGAGAGGGAUGGAGGCAGGGAGCCCAGAGUUCACCAUCUGAUGGACAGCUUGAGUUUGGCCAUAUGUCUAUGUCACACUUUAUACCUGCUGCUAUUUACAGCUCUUGAUUCAAUCCCUUCUGUAAUUAAUACGUCAGCGUUAAACAAAAAUUAUUUGUGAAAAAUUCCAGACGUUUCUCCUGUUCUUCACACACACACACACACACACACACCCCAGUUGUUAUUUCACUGUGCUAAUGUUUAAAAUCAGCCGGGAAAUUAGUCCUCGGUUCCCUUUUCCCAGUAACGUCUCAGCUCCUGUUCACACACGAGUCUUCCAGAUUUGAUCAGGAAUUUCAGUACGUCUCUUUUUCAUCUAAUGCAGUCUUUUUGGGAUUUCAGCUUUCACACUUCGACUCGUCACUGUUAAAUUCCGACCGUGAAAAGUGUGCGUCUGGAAGUGCCUCACGUUACUGUAACGAACCCCGCAGGGGUUCCAGGGAAGAGAGUGAAUCAUUCCUCUGAUUAUGCUUUACAUUUAUAUGAAACUAAUAUUUCAGGUUUAGUAACCUGUCAACAAAAAGGUGCAUGUGAGUAAUGGUGAAGAAGCACCAACCAAUAUUACUCCAAUAUUACACCAGCCAGUAGGUGUGCGUGCGUGCGUGCGUGUGUGUGUGUGUGUGUGUGUUUGCACAGUAGGUAGGGGUGUGUGUGUGUGUUUUUGUUUCGAACUGAUUGUCUUCUGCUUAGUUCAUAAUCCACAUGAGUAUCUGUAUGUGUGUGUUUCCAGCCUGACCUGAUUUGUGUUCAUUGCAUGUUACAGGUCUUACCUGAUUAGUGUAUGCUAGUGUGUGUGUGUGUGUGUG